rnacentral:rRNA from 1 species
UACGUAGGGGGCAAGCGUUGUCCGGAAUUAUUGGGCGUAAAGAGCUCGUAGGCGGUUUGUCGCGUCUGCUGUGAAAACCCGAGGCUCAACCUCGGGCCUGCAGUGGGUACGGGCAGACUAGAGUGCGGUAGGGGAGAUUGGAAUUCCUGGUGUAGCGGUGGAAUGCGCAGAUAUCAGGAGGAACACCGAUGGCGAAGGCAGAUCUCUGGGCCGUAACUGACGCUGAGGAGCGAAAGCAUGGGGAGCGAACAGG